AUACAUAUAUAAUAUAUAUGUAUACUAAUACCUUGAUUUAUGCGGAGUAUUCGUUCAAAGGUUUCUUACACGAUUAAGACUUAAAUAAGUUGAGUAGGCCAAUAUAAAAAAGUAAUUAAGAAGAAAAAUCAUAUAUGUUGUAAAAAUAUUUAUUUUACAUAUUUACGCGUAAAUAAUAAUAAUAGUAAUAAUUAAGAAAAACAAAAGACUUCGCACAAAAUCUAGAAAAGGUUAAAGGUUGAUAUAAUAAUGCCCUGCGCUAAGUACAACUCGGUUAAUUCAAACAAUUCAUAAUUUUUUAAGCAAUGAGUUUAUAAGUAAGGCCGAUCUAACCAAUAAAGAAUAAUAGCUCUCACAAAUGGUAAAAAGUGUGAAAAUUUGAAAGUAUUAAAAUAUUCUAACUUUGAAAUAAUCAAAAGAAAAACUGGAAAGUCCUUAAAAAAACUAUAAAACUUCUACCAAACUUCAGUAAAUCACAUUGUACAAUACAAAUUAUAUACAGAAAUAACAAAAAUUAUCUCCGAUACCGCUACUGAAUCACAAAUAGAUAUUAAUAUCUUAGAAUCCGAAAUUUUGUAACUUUUCCAAUGUCAAGCAUACAAGGCUUUUCUCGGGAACAAACACCCGUUCUGAGAACAUUAACAGAAACACUCUCUCAAUUGACGGAAGAGAUACGAGACUUGAGUUACCAUAUGAACCAACUUCAGUAUACGAUAUCAAAUAUUGAACACAAAUGUUCAAUAGAUUUUACGUUUGAUAAGGCAUUACUUUUAAUUCCGGAAUUUGACGGAUCUACUGAUGUCGAAGUCUUUAUUAAACAUAUCAAAGUAGCAGAAAAUCAGCUGGAUAUAGAUAAUUGCGAUUUACUUCUUUAUGCCAUAAUCGCACAAAAACUCAAAGAAAGAGCAAAGAAUAUAGUAAAAAUCGAUGAUGAGACAAAGUUUCCACAGUUUUAUGAAAAAUUGAGAUCUUUGUUUGAACAAUCCUAAAAUUGCUUUAAAAAGUUAAAUUGGAAAUCCAGAAAGGUAUUCACAUUCAAUGAAAUUGCUGCAAUCAUAAAUCGUUUUCUUCAAAUUAAUUGACGAGAUCAUCAUUGUAACUCGCAAAGCACUAUAGGAUUAUACAAUUUACAUUCAAGAGAAAUUUUAUCAACAAAAAAUGAGAUUUUCCAUUGCAACGUAAAAUUAAUAAUUGAAGAUUACCUUUACUUUUUUAAGCGUAGACCUAUUAAAUUAAACAUUCGCCAAAGCGAGAAUAUUCGAAAAAAAACUCCAAUUAAAAAGAUGUGAACAUAACGCAACGAAACAUUACACAUUCGGGUAUUUGUAUAUGUUUUCUCUACGCUGAUUAUUAUUUUUUUGUAAUUGUUAUUGCAAAUUAGAUAUGUAAGUUAAAAUAAUUAAGAUUUGUAAAAUACGUAUUGUAAAUAUGUAACAAAAAAUUGUCUAUGUAUUGCCAAGUACAUGGGGCCGCCUCGUGUAUUUAUGUGGGACCAGCCAACAACGAGAAUUCGAUAUUACAGAAUAUCUUAUUAUAAAAAAUGGCUGAAUUAAUUGAACUGUUAAUAAUCGAUAACUUAAGUUUUAUUUUAUGUAACAAAAUUAUAAUUGUUUUUGUAACUCUAAGAUCAAUCAAUAAAGAUUUCACAAUUUAAAUUCUAA
rnacentral:lncRNA from 1 species